GUACCGCUGAGGCAUCCCACAAUAGGACGAAACGAUCGUCCGGUGC
rnacentral:hammerhead_ribozyme from 1 species